AGUGGGAUGGCUGAGGUAAAAUUAGGCGAUAGGCUGUAAAUCUAUUUAGGAGCGUUAUAGUGCUCUUCCACUA
rnacentral:tRNA from 1 species